rnacentral:tRNA from 1 species
UGGAGCAGUUGGUAGCUCGUCGGGCUCAUAACCCGAAGGUCGUAGGUUCAAGUCCU